AACGAACGCUGGCGGCAGGCCUAACACAUGCAAGUCGAACGCUCCGCAAGGGGGAGUGGCGCACGGGUGAGUAACACGUGGGAACCUACCUUCUGGUACGGAACAACCAAGGGAAACUUUGGCUAAGGCCGUAUACGACCUCCGGGUGAAAGAUUGAUCGCCGGAAGAGGGGCCCGCGUCCGAUUAGGUAGUUGGUGAGGUAACGGCUCACCAAGCCUUCGAUCGGUAGCUGGUCUGAGAGGAUGACCAGCCACACUGGGACUGAGACACGGCCCAGACUCCUACGGGAGGCAGCAGUGGGGAAUAUUGGACAAUGGGCGCAAGCCUGAUCCAGCCAUGCCGCGUGAGUGAUGAAGGCC
rnacentral:rRNA from 1 species